AUGAACGCUAGCGGCAGGCUUAACACAUGCAAGUCGAGGGGCAACACGGGUAGCAAUACCUGGUGGCGACCGGCGCAAGGGUGCGUAACGCGUGAGCAACAUACCCUAUACAGGGGGAUAAUCCAGGGAAACUUGGUCUAAUAUCCCAUAGGAUUUACAGAUGUCAUCAUCUAUAAAUUAAAGCUUCGGUGGUAUAGGAUUGGCUCGCGUGACAUUAGCUAGAUGGGUGGGGUAACGGCCUACCAUGGCCAUGAUGUCGUAGGGGUUCUGAGAGGAACGACCCCCCACACUGGGACUGAGACACGGCCCAGACUCCUACGGGAGGCAGCAGUGAGGAAUAUUGGACAAUGGAUGGAAAUCUGAUCCAGCCAUGCCGCGUGCAGGAAGACGGCCCUAUGGGUUGUAAACUGCUUUUAUAUGGGAGCAAUAAGGUCUACGCGUAGACCGAUGAGAGUACCAUAUGAAUAAGCAUCGGCUAACUCCGUG
rnacentral:rRNA from 1 species